GAGCCUGAGAAACGGCUACCACAUCCAAGGAUGGCAGCAGGCGCGCAAAUUACCCAAUCCCGACACGGGGAGGUAGUGACAAUAAAUAACAAUACGGGGUUCUUUAGGAUCUCGUAAUUGGAAUGAGUACAAUUUAAAGCUCUUAACGAGGAACAAUUGGAGGGCAAGUCUGGUGCCAGCAGCCGCGGUAAUUCCAGCUCCAAUAGCGUAUAUUAAAGUUGUUGCAGCUAAAAAGCUCGUAGUAGAAUUUCGGGGUUAGUAGGUUGGUCAUGCCUCUGGUAUGUACUGGUCUCACUGAUUCCUCCUUCCUUAUGAACCGUAAUGCCAUUAAUUUGGUGUUGCGGGGAAUUUGGACUGUUACUUUGAAAAAAUUAGAGUGUUUAAAGCAAGCUAACGCUUGAAUACAUUAGCAUGGAAUAAUGAAAUAGGACGUUCGAUCUUAUUUUGUUGGUUUCUAGGAUUGACGUAAUGAUUAAUAGGGAUAGUUGGGGCAUUAGUAUUCAAUUGUCAGAGGUGAAAUUCUUGGAUUUAUUGAAGACUAACUACUGCGUAAGCAUUUGCCAAGGAUGUUUUCAUUAAUCAAGAACGAAAGUUAGGGGAUCGAAGACGAUCAGAUACCGUCGUAGUCUUAACCAUAAACUAUGCCGACUAGGGAUCGGAUGAUGUUAAUUUUUUAAUGACUCAUUCGGCGCCUUACGGGAAACCA
rnacentral:rRNA from 1 species